rnacentral:sRNA from 1 species
UACUUCCGUUAGCCUCGUGAGCGAGGGGU